UACGUAGGGGGCAAGCGUUAUCCGGAUUUACUGGGUGUAAAGGGAGCGCAGACGGCCGUGCAAGUCUGAUGUGAAAGGCUGGGGCUCAACCCCGGGACUGCAUUGGAAACUGUAUGGCUGGAGUGCCGGAGAGGUAAGCGGAAUUCCUAGUGUAGCGGUGAAAUGCGUAGAUAUUAGGAGGAACACCAGUGGCGAAGGCGGCUUACUGGACGGUAACUGACGUUGAGGCUCGAAAGCGUGGGGAGCAAACAGG
rnacentral:rRNA from 1 species